UGCACCAUGAUACUUCAUUUGUAUGAACAUUGACCCAUUGUCCUCAUCUGGGACCCCUGCCUGCACCAUCUAGUGGUCUCAUAAUGAAAUUACACUAAUUUGGGAAAAAAACAAGAUGGCUGGGAUCUCAAUGAAAGUGGCAGCUCCCGACAGAAAUAUGGACACGAGAGUCAUGGGUGGAGUCAUCGGUCAUCGGAUGUGUUUGGACUGAACUUCUCCCUCUGACAGUAAAAGUGUUGGAAGCAGUUGGAGGAAAAGGAGGCCAAACCUGGAGACGUGAUGUGUUUCUGUUUUUCGUGUAAGUGGAUCCGGUGUUGUUGUGUUGGUGAUGGAAACGACACUCAAGUCGUGACAGUCGGGUUGGGUUCAGGCUCCACCGGUGUUGGUGUUGGUGGUGGAAACAUCUCUCACCUCGGGAAACAAGCAGGCUGUAUCAACAGCACCGGUGGUCAUCCUGUUGUCAACAACACCUACUACAACCAUGCAUGGCAAUAACGGCUGAUGAAGGCUGCAGCAGGAUUGGGGUUCGGUUCCUGGGAUCUCUGGCAGAAACUGCUAUGGUCGUUGUGAAAAACGAUCUGGCAUACAAUCCUACUACUGCUGUAAUUUAGCAGACGCUUUAUCCAAAUCAACAUCUGAGCCACUAGACUACCACUCCCCCGUCCAUCAGUCUUAUUUCAUAAAGUUUGGUCAAAUCCACAUGACCUAACUUCAGAAAUGAAGGUUCCAAUUCAGACUUAUUAGAAACAACUUAAUCAAUAAUGUUUUCUUCUUCAACUGAGGAAGAGCAUGAUGUUUAUGUCAAAGAAAUCAAAUAUUUGAUAUGAUGUAAACACAAAUAUGAUUGAGGCUGAUCAGAUGAAUCAAUAAUAAAAUUCAUGCAAUAAAAAUGA